rnacentral:pre_miRNA from 1 species
AUCAACUUAUCGCAGAGCUUUCGGCUUGGUCUCCAAGCCUUGACCACUGAUGAAGGCUUGGAGACCGAGCCGAAAGCUCUGCGAUAAGUUGAUGAG